UCGGGAAUUUUGGGCAAUGGGCGAAAGCCUGACCCAGCAACGCCGCGUGAAGGAUGAAGUAUUUCGGUAUGUAAACUUCGUAAGAAUAGGAAGAAUAAAUGACGGUACUAUUUGUAAGGUCCGGCUAACUACGUGCCAGCAGCCGCGGUAAUACGUAGGGACCAAGCGUUGUUCGGAUUUACUGGGCGUAAAGGGCGCGUAGGCGGCGUGGUAAGUCAUCUGUGAAAUCUCCGAGCUUAACUCGGAACGGUCAGAUGAUACUGCUGUGCUAGAGUAUAGAAAGGGCAAUCGGAAUUCUUGGUGUAGCGGUGAAAUGCGUAGAUAUCAAGAGGAACACCUGAGGUGAAGACGGGUUGCUGGGCUGACACUGACGCUGAGGCGCGAAAGCCAGGGGAGCAAACGGGAUUAGAUACCCACGUAGUCCCUGAGCGGGCUGGCAAGGCGCAU
rnacentral:rRNA from 1 species